rnacentral:rRNA from 1 species
AGAGCGAACGCUGGCGGCAGGCCUAACACAUGCAAGUCGAACGGACUCUUCGGAGUUAGUGGCGGACGGGUGAGUAACACGUGGGAACGUGCCUUUUGGUUCGGAAUAGCUCCUGGAAACGGGUGGUAAUGCCGAAUGUGCCCUUCGGGGGAAAGAUUUAUCGCCAUUAGAGCGGCCCGCGUCUGAUUAGCUAGUUGGUGAGGUAAAGCUCACCAAGGCUACGAUCAGUAGCUGGUCUGAGAGGAUGACCAGCCACAUUGGGACUGAGACACGGCCCAAACUCCUACGGGAGCAGCAGUGGGGAAUCUUGCGCAAUCGGGACGAAAGCCUAGACGCAGCCAAGUGCCG